UAAGGAAUAUUGCUCAAUGGGAGAAAUCCUGAAGCAGCAACGCCGCGUGGAGGAUGAAGGGUCUAUGACUUGUAAACUCCUGUAAAGAAGGAAAAAAUUCCCAUUUGAUGGGAGAUGAUGGUACUUCUGGAGUAAGCCCCGGCUAACUACGUGCCAGCAGCCGCGGUAAUACGUAGGGGGCAAGCGUUGUCCGGAUUUACUGGGCGUAAAGGGUGCUCAGGCGGAUUUGUAAGUCAGAGGUGAAAUCUUACAGCUUAACUGUGAAACUGCCUUUGAGACUGCAAGCCUAGAGUAUGGAAGAGAGUGAUGGAAUAUCUGGUGUAGCAGUGAAAUGCGUAGAUAUCAGAUAGAACACCAAUGGCGAAGGCAGUCACUUGGUCCAUUACUGACGCUAAAGCACGAAAGCGUGGGUAGCAA
rnacentral:rRNA from 1 species